AUCAAGCAAAAAUCAAUGAAGGCAGUCUCUGGGCUUUCAGGGGUUGAGUCAGUUUCAAUGGACAUGCUGAAAUCACAAUAUGUAGUUGCUAAGCUAAGGAAGUUUUGUCAUGCUGAAAUCAUUUCUGUUGGACCAGCUAAAGAGGAAAAGAAAGAAGAAC